rnacentral:rRNA from 1 species
GACGAACGCUGGCGGCGUGCUUAACACAUGCAAGUCGAACGAUGAAGCCUAGCUUUUGUGGUGGCUUAGUGGGGAGCGAGUGAGUAAUACACGCGUGACCUAUCUUUCACUCUGCGGUAAACCUCGGGAACAAGGGCUAAUACAGACUACAUCCAAUCUCCGCACACGGUGUUGGUGGAAAACGUUAUGUGGUGGUUAUAGAUGGGCUCACGGCCUAUCAGCUUGUUGGGGAGGUAACGGCUCACCAAGGCGACGACGGGUAGCCGGGCUGAGAGGGUGACCGGCCACACUGGGACUGAGAAACGGCCCAGACUCCUACGGGAGGCAGCAGUGGGGAAUAUUGCACAAUGGGCGGAAGCCUGAUGCAGCGACGCCGCGUGGGGGAUGACGGCCUUCGGGUUGUAAACCUCUGUUGGCAGGGAAGAAGAGAAAGUGACGGUAACUGCAGAGAAAGCGCCGGCUAACUACGUG